AAAAGUAUUAAUUAAUUAGCUCGGCAAGACUAGUUCGGCUUCGUUUGGUUCGGAUAUAAAUAAGAACUAACUUAUUUCAGUGAUAAGUACAAGUUUAGAUAUAAACGAGAACUAGACCAAUUUUAUAUUUGGAUGAAAAUUUGGUUGUUUCCGGAAAUUAAAAAAAUAGCGUUUGGAUAGAUAAGAUGAAAUAAGAAAAAUAGUGGAUAGUUAUAAAUAGAAAAUAAUGAUAUUACACAUCUCAUUAUAUUUGAAUUUAAAUUUUUAAAUUUUAU
rnacentral:lncRNA from 1 species